rfam:Trachymyrmex cornetzi contig60376, whole genome shotgun sequence.
AAACUGGCCCUUUUCAGGGCCCCAAAUUGUCAUACGAUGGAACAAU